GAGUUACUACUCCAAACCCAUUGUGAACCUUACCUAUGUUCUGUUGCCUCGGCGGCGUGGUCAGCGCCCCCUCUGAAAAGAGGACGAUGCCCUCCCGCCGGCAGCACCAAACUCUUUGAAUUUUACAGCGGAUUACAGUUCUGAUUUGAAAACAAAAAACAAGUUAAAACUUUCAACAACGGAUCUCUUGGUUCUGGCAUCGAUGAAGAACGCAGCGAAAUGCGAUAAGUAAUGUGAAUUGCAGAAUUCAGUGAAUCAUCGAAUCUUUGAACGCACAUUGCGCCCGGCAGUAAUCUGCCGGGCAUGCCUGUCCGAGCGUCAUUUCAACCCUCGAACCUCCGUUUCCUCAGGGAAGCUCAGGGUCGGUGUUGGGGCGCUACGGCGAGUCUUCGCGACCCUCCGUAGGCCCUGAAAUACAGUGGCGGUCCCGCCGCGGUUGCCUUCUGCGUAGUAAGUCUCUUUUGCAAGCUCGCAUUGGGUCCCGGCGGAGGCCUGCCGUCAAACCACCUAUAACUCCAGAUGGUUUGACCUCGGAUCAGGUAGGGUUACCCGCUGAACUUAAGCAUAU
rnacentral:rRNA from 1 species